rnacentral:lncRNA from 1 species
AACCCAGGGGCGGUCCUGCAGCUGGGCAGGCCUGGGGCUUGGUUCUAUGUCCAUGCGAGUCGGUGCGAGGGCGAAGAGGAACCUGUGGGCCUCGGGGGAUCCCGAGGAGCCGGAACAGUGUUCCCCAGUUGUUGGAGCAGACGCGUGAGCGCAUCGCGGGCGGGCAGGGCCUGACGUGCAGCUAUGUUUCCAGUGUCCUCUGGGUGUUUCCAAGAGCUACAAGAAACAAAUAAAUCUCUGG